AACGCUAGCUACAGGCUUAACACAUGCAAGUCGAGGGGCAGCAUGAACUUAGCUUGCUAAGUUUGAUGGCGACCGGCGCACGGGUGAGUAACACGUAUCCAACCUGCCGAUGACUCGGGGAUAGCCUUUCGAAAGAAAGAUUAAUACCCGAUGGCAUAGUUCUUCCGCAUGGUAGAACUAUUAAAGAAUUUCGGUCAUCGAUGGGGAUGCGUUCCAUUAGGUUGUUGGCGGGGUAACGGCCCACCAAGCCUUCGAUGGAUAGGGGUUCUGAGAGGAAGGUCCCCCACAUUGGAACUGAGACACGGUCCAAACUCCUACGGGAGGCAGCAGUGAGGAAUAUUGGUCAAUGGACGAGAGUCUGAACCAGCCAAGUAGCGUGAAGGAUGACUGCCCUAUGGGUUGUAAACUUCUUUUAUACGGGAAUAAAGUGAGGCACGCGUGCCUUUUUGUAUGUACCGUAUGAAUAAGGAUCGGCUAACUCCGUGCCAGCAGCCGCGGUAAUACGGAGGAUCCGAGCGUUAUCCGGAUUUAUUGGGUUUAAAGGGAGCGUAGGCGGACGCUUAAGUCAGUUGUGAAAGUUUGCGGCUCAACCGUAAAAUUGCAGUUGAUACUGGGUGUCUUGAGUACAGUAGAGGUGGGCGGAAUUCGUGGUGUAGCGGUGAAAUGCUUAGAUAUCACGAAGAACUCCGAUUG
rnacentral:rRNA from 1 species